UACGGAGGGUGCGAGCGUUAUCCGGAAUUACUGGGCGUAAAGAGCGCGCAGGCGGUCGUUCAAGUCGCGUGUGAAAGCCCCCGGCUCAACUGGGGAGGGUCACGCGAUACUGAUCGACUCGAAGGCAGGAGAGGGUAGUGGAAUUCCCGGUGUAGUGGCGAAAUGCGUAGAUAUCGGGAGGAACACCAGUGGCGAAGGCGACUACCUGGCCUGUUCUUGACGCUGAGGCGCGAAAGCUAGGGGAGCAAACGGG
rnacentral:rRNA from 1 species